UACGGGGGGGGUGAGCGUUGUUCGGAAUUACUGGGCGUAAAGGGUCUGUAGGUGGCUUGCUAAGUCAGACGUGAAAUCCCUCAGCUUAACUGGGGAACUGCGUCUGAGACUGGCGAGCUUGAGUGCAGGAGAGGAACGCGGAAUUCCAGGUGUAGCGGUGAAAUGCGUAGAUAUCUGGAGGAACACCGGUGGCGAAGGCGGCGUUCUGGACUGCAACUGACACUGAGAGACGAAAGCCAGGGGAGCAAACGGG
rnacentral:rRNA from 1 species